GACGAACGCUGGCGGCGUGCCUAAUACAUGCAAGUAGAACGCUGAAGGAGGAGCUUGCUCUUCUGGAUGAGUUGCGAACGGGUGAGUAACGCGUAGGUAACCUGCCUGGUAGCGGGGGAUAACUAUUGGAAACGAUAGCUAAUACCGCAUAAGAGUAGAUGUUGCAUGACAUUUGCUUAAAAGGUGCAAUUGCAUCACUACCAGAUGGACCUGCGUUGUAUUAGCUAGUUGGUGGGGUAACGGCUCACCAAGGCGACGAUACAUAGCCGACCUGAGAGGGUGAUCGGCCACACUGGGACUGAGACACGGCCCAGACUCCUACGGGAGGCAGCAGUAGGGAAUCGUCGGCAAUGGACGGAAGUCUGACCGAGCAACGCCGCGUGAGUGAAGAAGGUUGUCGGAUCGUAAAGCUCGGUUGUAAGAGAAGAACGAGUGUGAGAGUGGAAAGUUCACACUGUGACGGUAGCUGACCAGAAAGGGACGGCUAACUACGUG
rnacentral:rRNA from 1 species